rnacentral:rRNA from 1 species
AUAAAGUCUAACCUGCCCACUGAAUAUAGUUUAAAGGGCCGCAGUAUUUUGACUGUGCAAAGGUAGCAUAAUCAUUAGUCUUUUAAUUGAAGGCUGGUAUGAAUGGUUGGAUGAGGUACAAGCUGUGUCAUAAAAAUUAAAAUUUGAAUUUACCUUUUUAGUCAAAAGGCUAAAAUAUUUUUAAAAGACGAGAAGACCCUAUAGAGCUUUAUAUAACUAAUAUUUAAAUUAUUAAGAUUUUUAAAAUUAAAUUAUCUUUUUAUAUUUUGUUGGGGUGACAAUAAAAUUAAUAAAACUUUUAUUUUUAUUAAACAUUAAUUUAUGAAUAAAUGAUCCAGUUUUAUUGAUUAUAAAAUUAAGUUACCUUAGGGAUAACAGCGUAAUUUUUUUUGAGAGUUCUUAUCGACAAAAAAGAUUGCGACCUCGAUGUUGGAUUAAGAGUAAUUUUGGGUGUAGAAGUUCAAAGUUUAAGUC